GGCAAGUUGGCCGAGUGGUCUAAGGCGCAGUGUUAAGGAUAUCCUUGAGAAAAGAAGUUCUGACAGAGUUUUCCCGCUGUCUUCGGGCGUGGGUUCGAAUCCCACACUUGUCA